AGUGAACGCUGGCGGUAGGCCUAACACAUGCAAGUCGAACGGCAGCACAGUAAGAGCUUGCUCUUACGGGUGGCGAGUGGCGGACGGGUGAGGAAUACAUCGGAAUCUACUUUUUCGUGGGGGAUAACGUAGGGAAACUUACGCUAAUACCGCAUACGACCUACGGGUGAAAGCAGGGGAUCUUCGGACCUUGCGCGAUUGAAUGAGCCGAUGUCGGAUUAGCUAGUUGGCGGGGUAAAGGCCCACCAAGGCGACGAUCCGUAGCUGGUCUGAGAGGAUGAUCCGCCACACUGGAACUGGAGCACGGUCCAGACUCCUACGGGAGGCAGCAGUGGGGAAUAUUUGACAAUGGGGGGAAACCUGAUCCAGCCAUACCGCGGGGGUGAAGAAGGCCUUCGGGUUGGAAAGGCCUUUUUUUGGGAAAGAAAAGCAGCAGGUUAAUACCCCGCUGUUCUGACGGUACCCAAAGAAUAAGCACCGGCUAACUUCGUG
rnacentral:rRNA from 1 species